rnacentral:ncRNA from 1 species
CAAAGGCUUGGUCCUGACUUUACUGUCUGCUUUAGCCAUAUUUACACAUGCAAGUAUCCGCCCCCCUGUGAGAAUGCCCAUAUUCUCCUAAAUGGAGAUAAGGAGCUGGUAUCAGGCACACUUACUUAGUAGCCCACAACACCUUGCUUAGCCACACCCCCAAGGGAAUUCAGCAGUGAUAAAUAUUAAGCCAUGAGUGAAAACUUGACUUAGUUAAAGCUAAGAGGGCCGGUAAAACUCGUGCCAGCCACCGCGGUUAUACGAGAGGCCCAAGUUGACAGAAAACGGCGUAAAGCGUGGUUAAGGACAAUUCAAACUAAAGCCGAACACCUUCAGGACUGUUAUACGUUUCCGAAGGAACUGAAGCCCAACUACGAAAGUGGCUUUAUAAAACCUGAACCCACGAAAGCUAAGAAACAAACUGGGAUUAGAUACCCCACUAUGCUUAGCCCUAAACUUUGAUUGUUUAAUACACUAAACAUCCGCCCGGGAAUUACGAACAUCAGUUUAAAACCCAAAGGACUUGGCGGUGCUUUACAUCCACCUAGAGGAGCCUGUUCUAGAACCGAUAACCCCCGUUAAACCUCACCCUCCCUUGUUUAUUCCGCCUAUAUACCACCGUCGUCAGCUUACCCUGUGAAGGUUUAAUAGUAAGCAAAAUUGGUAAAACCCAGAACGUCAGGUCGAGGUGUAGCACAUGAGAGGGGAAGAAAUGGGCUACAUUCACUAAUUGUAGUGAACACGAAUGGGAUAUUGAAAUAUAUCCCUGAAGGAGGAUUUAGCAGUAAGUAGGAAGUAGAGUGUCCCACUGAAAAUGGCUCUAAAGCGCGCACACACCGCCCGUCACCCUCCCCAAGCACCAAAUUCCAUCUUUAACUUAAAAAUAUCACCCGCUCUUAGGGGAGGAAAGUCGUAACAUGGUAAGCGUACCGGAAGGUGCGCUUGGAAUAAC